GUUUGUGUCCAGAGUUUGUCCCUAAUUACAUGCCUAUGUAUACCCCGUUCCCGCGUCUCUUGUUUAUCGGUCAUUCAUUGUGUUUCUGCCCUCGUUAGUUCCGUUCCGCAUAAAAUCCAAGGCGCCGUCACCUCGCAAGUGUGUUCGCAUAUCACCCCUCUCACGUUACAGUAAGCUUUGCAUGUGCUUGGUGUUCUCUUAACCAGCUUCAUGAGACAGCCACCUAUUUUCCAUCAGUCUUCAGGACAUUCUCACAUAUGCAAAGCACUUGCAGGACCCCAGAUGAUAGCGCUGACCUCAGACUGAGAGUGUACCCGCCCCAGCGCUACCACUCAUGAAGAGGAUAACUUUUUGUUGCGUCAGUACUUCUAUUGGUCAUUCCCUUAUGGUUAAUAAAGAG